rnacentral:misc_RNA from 1 species
GAUGAAGAAACGUAGCGAACUGCGAUAAGUAAUGUGAAUUGCAGAAUUCAGUGAAUCAUCGAGUCUUUGAACGCACAUUGCGCCCCCUGGCAUUCCGGGGGGCAUGCCUGUCCGAGCGUCAUUGCUGCCCUUCAAGCCCGGCUUGUGUGUUGGGUCGUCGUCCCCCCCGGGGGACGGGCCCGAAAGGCAGCGGCGGCACCGCGUCCGGUCCUCGAGCGUAUGGGGCUUUGUCACCCGCUCGAUUAGGGCCGGCCGGGCGCCAGCCGGCGUCUCCAACCUUCUAUUUUACCAGGUUGACCUCGGAUCAGGUAGGGAUACCCGCUGAACUUAAGCAUAUCAAUAAGCGGAGGA